AGGAGCCGUAUGCGUUAGGAGCGCACGUACGGAUCUGCGGAGGGGGUGAUAGGCGACUGUCAUUCCUACUCCAAC
rnacentral:misc_RNA from 1 species